rnacentral:rRNA from 1 species
UACAGAGGUCUCAAGCGUUGCUCGGAAUCACUGGGCGUAAAGCGCACGUAGGCGGAUUGUUAAGUCAGGGGUGAAAUCCUGGAGCUCAACUCCAGAACUGCCUUUGAUACUGGCGAUCUCGAGUCCGGGAGAGGUGAGUGGAACUGCGAGUGUAGAGGUGAAAUUCGUAGAUAUUCGCAAGAACACCAGUGGCGAAGGCGAGUCUCUGGACGACACCUGACACUGAGGCACGAAAGCUAGGGGAGCAAACAGG